rnacentral:rRNA from 1 species
GCAAAACGCGAAGAACCUUACCCACCUUUGACAUGUACGGAAUCCUUCAGAGAUAGAGGAGUGCUCGAAAGAGAGCCGUAACACAGGUGCUGCAUGGCUGUCGUCAGCUCGUGUCGUGAGAUGUUGGGUUAAGUCCCGCAACGAGCGCAACCCUUGCCAUUAGUUGCUACGAAAGGGCACUCUAAUGGGACUGCCGGUGACAAACCGGAGGAAGGUGGGGAUGACGUCAAGUCCUCAUGGCCCUUAUAGGUGGGGCUACACACGUCAUACAAUGGCUGGUACAAAGGGUUGCCAACCCGCGAGGGGGAGCUAAUCCCAUAAAGCCAGUCGUAGUCCGGAUCGCAGUCUGCAACUCGACUGCGUGAAGUCAGAAUCGCUAGUAAUCGUGGAUCAGAAUGUCAUGGUGAAUACGUUCCCGGGUCUUGUACACACCG